rnacentral:rRNA from 1 species
AACGCGAAGAACCUUACCAAGGUUUGACAUGGCCGGAAAAGCAUCAGAGAUGGUGUGUCCUUCGGGGUCGGUCACAGGUGGUGCAUGGCUGUCGUCAGCUCGUGUCGUGAGAUGUUGGGUUAAGUCCCGCAACGAGCGCAACCCUCGUCCUAUGUUGCCAGCGGGUCAUGCCGGGGACUCAUGGGAGACUGCCGGGGUCAACUCGGAGGAAGGUGGGGAUGACGUCAAGUCAUCAUGCCCCUUAUGUCUUGGGCUGCAAACAUGCUACAAUGGCCGGUACAGAGGGCUGCGAACUCGCGAGGGUAAGCGAAUCCCGGAAAGCCGGUCUCAGUUCGGAUCGGGGUCUGCAACUCGGCCCCGUGAAGCUGGAGUCGCUAGUAAUCGCGGAUCAGCAACGCCGCGGUGAAUACGUUCCCGGGCCUUGUA